UAUUCACCAGAAAAUCUCUCGCUCCUUCCUUUUUCGUUCUCAGGGAGAGGCGGCAAAGAGAGAGAAAGGGGAGCAGCCGCCGCUUCUUCCACCGGCCCAUCCCCCGCCGGUCGCAGCCGCAUACCCUAGGCCUGGUUCUUGAGGGAGUACCUCCUGCGGCAAGCCACGGGAGCCAGCAUCGUCCGUGCCCCGCCGACGAGAUCUAGAAUCCCUUAGAUUUCUCCGUCCUUGGUUGGGUUGUGCCAAGGUUCCGGCGUGGCCUAGCUGCUAGUUAAGUUGUGGGCUGAUCUCACCAUGAAGCUACUGUCCCACUUCUUCACAAAAGGCAGUAAAUAGGUAAUCCUUACCUCUCUAAUUUUUUUCUGCAAUUUAAUUUAGUUGUCACUGCAAAAAAAUUAAAAAAUGAAAAAAAUACAUUUGAGAGUUUUGUUGGUUGAUCUAAUGAUUUAAUCAAUGCAUGGUUUGUGAGACUGCCAUACUUAUAGGAAUGUGAGUAUUUUAGACGGUUGAGAAUUAAGGAUAUGGGAUGUACCACGACCCUAAGUUCGAGCACACUACCUGUGAAAGAAAUCUUUAUGAGUGAUGCACCACAAUCUACAAAGAUGUGUGUUCCAUUUCAUUGUUUCUUUAUCAUUUAGCCAAUGUCACCGCUUGGUCGGCAACAUGUUGAAGUUGUUCUCGAUGCUAAAAACUUGCAACAUGCUGAAUUUCGCACCCUUGAUAAAAUGGGUUGCAAAUUUAGCUGGGCAGCCCCCCUCCUCUGCUGUGGUGCUAACUGAUGCAACAAAGUGAUCAGCUUACAACAACACCACCAGCAAAUUUUGCUUCGCAGAAGAAUGAAAAGGUCUCCUGUACUAAAGAGAUUCCAGGGAGAG